UCUCCGUUUGCACGGGCAGUUCCACUAGAGUCCCCGGCCGAACCGCUGGCAACUAAUGGUAGGGGUUGCACUCGUUGCGGGACUUAACCCAACACCUCACGGCACGAGCUGACGACAGCCAUGCAGCACCUAGUUUCGCGCCCUUUCGGGAAGGCUCUUUUCAGAACCGGUCGCUAGCUUUCAAGCCCUGGUAAGGUUCCUCGCGUAUCAUCGAAUUAAACCACAUGCUCCUCCGCUUGUGCGGGCCCCCGUCAAUUCCUUUGAGUUUCACCGUUGCCGGCGUACUCCCCAGGUGGAUUACUUAUCGCUUUUGCUGCGUUACUAAAGGAUUUAACUCCUCCAACAACUAGUCAUCAUCGUUUAGGGCGUGGACUAC
rnacentral:misc_RNA from 1 species